GUGAACGCUGGCGGUAGGCCUAACACAUGCAAGUCGAACGGCAGCACAGUAAGAGCUUGCUCUUACGGGUGGCGAGUGGCGGACGGGUGAGGAAUACAUCGGAAUCUACUUUUUCGAGGGGGAUAACGGAGGGAAACUAACGCUAAUACCGCAUACGACCUACGGGUGAAAGCAGGGGAUCUUCGGACCUUGCGCGAUUGAAUGAGCAGAUGUCGGAUUAGCUAGUUGGCGGGGUAAAGGCCCACCAAGGCGACGAUCCGUAGCUGAUCUGAGAGGAUGAUCAGCCACACUGGAACUGGGACACGGUCCAUACUCCUGCGGGAGGCCGCAGUGGGGAAUAUUCGACGAUGGGCGCAAGUCUGAUCCAGCCCUACCGCGUGGGUCAAGAAGGCCUUCGGGUUGUAAAGCCCUUUUGUUGUUAAAGAAAAUCAGCAGGUUAAUACCCCGCUGUUCUGACGGUACCCUAUGAAUAAGCACCGGCUAACUUCGUG
rnacentral:rRNA from 1 species